rnacentral:rRNA from 1 species
UGAGGAAUAUUGCGCAAUGGGCGAAAGCCUGACGCAGCAACGCCGCGUGGAUGAUGAAGUUCUUCGGAAUGUAAAGUCCUUUUGUAGAGGAAGAAUAUCCCGGUUUACCGGGACUGACGGUACUCUGCGAAUAAGCCACGGCUAACUCUGUGCCAGCAGCCGCGGUAAUACGUAGGGUGCAAGCGUUAUUCGGAAUUACUGGGUGUAAAGGGAGUGUAGGCGGGAGAGUAAGUUAGAAGUGAAAUGUACGGGCUCAACCUGUAACGUGCUUUUAAUACUGCUUUUCUUGAGUGUUGGAGAGGUAGAUGGAAUUCCAGGUGUAGCGGUGAAAUGCGUAGAUAUCUGGAGGAACAUCAGUGGCGAAAGCGGCUUCCUGGUCCAACAUUGACAUUCGGGUGCGAAAGCGUGGGGAGCAAACAGG